rnacentral:misc_RNA from 1 species
UUUCUUUCUCUUCCUUUUCUUCCUUCCCAAUAAUAUCUGUUUUAACAAUAAAUAAUAUAUUAUAAUAAAUAAAAUCCAGAUAUUCAAGUUGUUUGAUUCCGUUGGAUUGGUGGACUUUUCCUCAUUUUCAGCCUUCGAUUUCUCCUCUACAAUCAUCCCCCCCUCCUCUUCCUCCGAAAUGAUCCUCGCUUAAAGAAGUUUGCUUCAUGAGUUAGUAGUACUUAAAAUAAAAUAUAAUUUUGAAGUUGUUGAAGAACAUGAUUCGUCGUCGUCAUGAAUCCCAAGGCUGUUUAUUCUUGUAAUGAUUCGAAAAAAGCGCAAAAAUCAUUGGCAUGCAAAUUCCUUUUAGAAAAUGAGUUCUUGGGGUGAAAAAAUGACUUCCGUCGUUACAGCCUGUGGAACUACACACGGAAUUCCCUAUGCUAGGAGAUUAGAAAAGGUUAAGUUUGGAGUUCCUCUGGAUCAAGUGUGCAAAAAGGAUAUCCCUGGACCUUUACUUGUUAUGCUAUUAAAGCUUAACAAGGAAGGUCCAUUUAAAAGGGAUGUGUUUCGAGCACCUGGACAUCAAGGAAACAUGCGUAAACUAGUUCAUUUUCUACAGCAAGGAAGACUUGUGAAUAUUCAUACUUUUUCUGUCAAUACAAUCGCAUCAGUUCUUAAAAAGUUUCUACGUAAAAUUCCUGGAGGGAUUUUUGGACCAGAGAAUGAAAAAGAACUAUUUACCAUAAUUAGAAUGGAGAAUACUGAAGCUAAAUUGGAACGUGUUCACCAAUUACUCUUGGAUCUACCAAUAUACUCUCAACACUUGUUGGUUCUUUUGUUUGGAACAUUUCGAGUCAUUCAUUCUAAUAGCGUGAAAGCACAAACGGGUAUGAGUGCCGAAGCAUUGGGAGUUUCGGUAGCUCCAUCUUUUUUCCAUACAUGCGUUGCUGCUGGUAAGACAGCCAAAAUGGAAGAUGUUGAACGAUUUAAGGAUUGUAUUGAUGAGUGUUUAGAAAAACUAUUGUUGGCUACAAAAGUAACGACGUUUUUCAUUGAGCAUUUUGGAAUAAGAAAUUUGUUUGGACGUGAUAAUUAUGAAUACUAUGCAAAAUUGACUGGAAGGAUUUUAAAAGUAGAAGAUGAGUGGAUUUUCUUCACCUACCCACCAGUCAUUUUAGGUGGGUCUCGAGACGACAUGGACCCUUCAUUAAAUCGCAUUCCGUCCGACGAUGAAGGGUGUGGAGGUGGUACGAGAUCACUUGAGAAGACUGGAUCAUUAGAAAUAAUUCCAGAAAAUUGUCCUCUGGAUCCGCAAGGCCGUCUUUCAAUAUCUUUGGAUGAUCACCAGCAAAAUGUUUCAUCUCCUUCCUCUUGUGGGUCGCCCCUAGAGCCACUACAUAAUUUAAAUACGAUUGCAUCACCUAUUUCCGGAAGGAACACUAUUCCUGGAAGAUCUGAGUUCAAGUCAUACACUUGUCUGCCUCAGUGGGAUUUACAUCGUCGUCAUAGCAUCUCCUUUUAUUCCUUGAUGAUGUUCGUGGUUCAAGACGACUCUCCCUCACCAACAAUCUCAGAUCAUGAUGAGCACGAAGGAAAUAGAUGUAUGGAGCAACAGGUUUUGGUUCAUGAACGACAGACUGAAAGAAUGAAGCAUAGAUCCGAAUGGUUUUUGUCUGAUCCCUCAGGACUGGUUACUGUGAAAUGUCGCCCUGGACCACUAGCAUUACCUCUUCAAACUGUGUCUGCUACAACUGGUUGGCGAAUCUGCAACGAAAGACCGUCUUCUUUACCGGGGCAAGUCAAAGUUGGAAAAAUGUUUUCAUACCAGUUUAAUAACACUCCUUCUUCAGUACAAUCAGCGCCUUGGACAAUUAAAGGAACCAGUUUACAACAAUUAAGUGGCGAGAUCGGUGGUGUACCUGCAUCCUCCUCCCCUCCCUCGUCGGCCCCGCCAACAACGACUUCAUCCAUCCAGAAUCCUCAAGUGACCAACGUUAGUACUGGAAGUAGUAGCUGUAACUUACGCCGUCGUCUUUCUGACAAAGAACGGAGACUCGUUCGUCGUUCCUCUUCUAAAAGAAAAGACAAAGAAAAUGGAGGAGGUCCUUCACUUAAGCGAGCUGGCUCUGCCGACUCUGGUAGCGGAGGUGGAGUAGGCUCUACGAGUAACACAACAAAUAAUAGUUCAUCUACUCGCAACAAUCAUGGAAGUCUACGACGAACAGGAUCUCAAGAAACUUCUGGUGCAUUAACAACAACCCCUCCUCCAUCAUCUCAUACAAAUUCAAAUGAAUCAUUAGCAAGAACACUUCCUAGAAUAUGAUAUGAUCCAUUUUGAACUUAUUAUUAUAAUACCUAGAUAGACAUUCCUUCGUUUCCUCACAUUAUCAUCAUCAUUGUCGUAUUGCAUUCCUUGGUCACAUCUCCUCAUCAUAAAUAUACUAUUCGAAUAAUGAUAACACCGCAUCUCUACUGCCAAUUCAUUAUUAUAAUAAAUAAAUAUGUCUCUUUGAGGGAUGAGAGAUUCUGUUAGUUACAUUUACAUUUUUGAAUUCAUUGUUAAACGAUUGUAUGUUAUAUCCUUUGAAAAUCCGUUAUGACCAUUUUUUUUUUUCUGAAAAAAAAACAAAAAAACUACGACAGAAUGAAACCAAAAACGCUUUCUGAAAAUAAUUGGAAUUGGUGAGGAAUUCAAAUGAUAAAAUAUUAAAAACUACAUUCAUUGUACACCAUUGUUACUUCAUAAACAUUACUAUAACACGUGUUGCCUUCAGGCUUAACCCGCCCAAUAUUUUUUAGUUAUCGUCUUAGUCAAAUUGUAUAAUUAAUUAAUUAUUAUGAUCGUCACACUACACUACACCACAACACGAAUAAAUUAUGUAUAGCAAAAUGAUUAUAUUCCCCCUUCAAUUUUAUACUGUUUUUCUUUUUAAUCAAGGGGAAUAUGAGAGAUCAUCACUGCCGCCUUUGCAAUGUCAAUCGGAAUAUUUUUUUUGUAUUGUGUUAAUAAUGAUAUUUGUUUUUGUUUCCUUUUAAAAUGAUAAUUAAUUAUUAUUAUUAAUACCAAUCAUUCCAAUUGUUCACCACAACAAAAGAACUAGCAUAUUAUAUUACUUUUACAUAAAAGAUGCAUAAUUUUUUCUUGCUCUUUAUAUUUAAAAAAUUGCAUUUUUUUUACCAAAUUAUUAUUUUGAAAAUUAUAUCAUCAUUUUUGUACAUUAUAUCCUUCCAUUCUUCUUGUAUGUUAUUCAGCUUUAUACUAUUUUUUCUAAGUAAGUAAUUUUUUUUUUUUCAAGAAGAAAAAAAAAGACAUCCCGGUAUCACACACGAAACAAAACCACUUUAAUGAUGAUGAAAGAUUUGUUCCUUUAUUUUAUAUUACACGUCUAAUUAUAAUGAUUAUUUUUCCUCUUUUUUAAUGACACUCCUUACUACAACUUUUUAUUUAUUUAUAUACAUAUGCAUUUUUAAUUAUUCUAUUAUCUUAUUAUCAUUCAGUUUGUAUCCAUGAUUUGUAAAAAAGCGCGAAUAUGCAGCAAUGACUAUUAUUUUGAAUUAUAUUGUUUAUUUAUA